rnacentral:lncRNA from 1 species
ACAUAUAUAACCAAAUUUAUUUCUUUAAUCAAUGAAACAGACAGUUUGCUAUCUUUCUCUAUAUAUAGAGAGAGAGAGAGAACUAGGCUGAAAUACUAUUGAUAGCAAAAGACCUUUUUUGCUAUCAAAUUUUUAAUCUUUGGAUGAGAAAUUAUAGGAUUAGAAUAAUAUUAGUCCCUUAUAAUUGAGUGGUCCCCACUGGAUUAUAAUAUUUAAUCUAAUGGUUAGACAUGAUGAAAUGAAUUGAUCCAAAUGCUAAAAAUUAAUUUGAUAGCAAAUAAAGUUUUUUGCUAUGAAUAGUAUUUUAGCUCAACUCUCUCUAUAUAUAUAUUCCUAUUUCUCUCUCCACAAAAAAAAACAUCAUACUCCUAUUAUCUAAAUAUUUUAUUGUCACCCCCCAAACACUUAUCUUUCCAUAUUUUGCUUCGACUUCUUCUCCUCCAACAUCACCUACCUUUCCAACCUCGAAUCUCUUCUUUCAUCAUUUUCAC